AAAAGAUUAUUCCCUUCAGAGAAGUAGCCGAAAUCACCAAGCUUGGAAAGAUGUCAAGGAGAACUAGAAGUGACACAGCCCUGGUCUUUCUGUUCAGAGCUUUAUUUCUCUCCCCAGACCCAGCGUUCUUAUGAGCUUUGUGAGAAGGAGAAAGGCAGGCCCAGGCUUUUGAUUCUAAAGGUAUGAAACUGGGAAAGCCAAGACAGCGCAGCAUUAAGGCAUGUGCUCAAAGUUCAUUGGAACUAGCUAACAUAUAAACCACUCCAACCAAACAGAAUUGGGUCACAAAUGCAAACUGUCUUCGCUUUUAAAAGAACUUGUUGGCAACUCAAGUCCGAUUUUUCAAAUCCAUCUAAUUCCUUUUCUCCCCAUCUCUUCUCCAUCACAGGGCAACAGACAUGUAUCUUCUAUUGAGAAGAUACUGAUUUCCUCCCCAAUUCAAGAUUCCUGCCGAAUCACACUGAAAGAAAGGAUAGGGAUUCUGAUGGGUUCAAGAGGACUGCUCGCUCAUUUCUUCUUGUCCUCUUUCCAUUUAUUCCUGUUGAAAUGUAGCUAGUUGCAUCGUAUUUGUCAACAGUGGGAGUUUUCCAUCCCAGGAGAUAUGUCAGAGGAGAGUGGAACCAGAAGACCCCUAAAAGCUCCUUUCAGUUCUAAGGCCCUGCGGACCAGUCCCUUAAUCCUAUUCCAAGGGACCACUUGUGGUUCAGAAGUAAUCGGUGCAAGUCUCAAGAAACUGGACUUAGAUAUUGACCUCUCCUCCCACUCAGAUGAUCCAGUAGCCAGUGUGGAUGCUUGGCGGGAACAGCAGUAUAUUUGGUGUCUCUUCAAUAAGACUGUGACUCUUUGCAACAGCAUGGAUUGUAGCCCGCAAGGCUCCUCUGUCCAUGGAAUUUUCCAGGCAAGAAUACUGCAGCAGGUUGCCACUUCCUACACCAGGGGAUCUUCUCGAUCCAGGGAUCAAACCUGCGUCUCUCUCGUCUCCUGCAUUGCCAGGUGGAUUCUUUACCGCUGUGCCACCUGGGAGGCCUUGUCUUUUGAAGAGAGGGUCUUAAUUUUUGUGAAGUCAAAUUUACUGAUUUUCUGUAAUGUAAAUACUAGAGUUUUGGGGUUAUAGCUAAGAAAUCUUUGUCUAGCCCUGGGUCACAAGGAUUUUCUCCUAUGUUUCUUCUAGAAGUUUUAUAGUUUUAGGUUUUAUAUUUAGAGUAAGAUCUGUUUAGGAUUAUUUUUUCAAUGUGAUAUGAGGCAUCAGUCGAAGUUCUUUGUUGUUGUUGUUUUUUUUUUUUGCAUUGUUCAUCCAAUUUUGUUCCAGAACAAUUUGUUGAAUAGGUCAACGUUUUCUCAUUAAAUUGUUUUUGCCUGUCUUCAAAAAUUGAUUGAUUAUAUAUGUGGGAUCUAUUUCUGGAUUCUCUCUUUUCCAUUGAUCUAUCUGCCCAUAAUCACUUGAUUACUGUAGGUUUCAAAUAAGUCUUGUGAUCAGAUACCAUAAUCUUCCAAUUUUAUCCUUUUUCAAAAGCAUUUGGUUAAUUCUAGCUCCUUUG
rnacentral:lncRNA from 1 species